rnacentral:rRNA from 1 species
GAUGAACGCUGGCGGCGUGCCUAAUACAUGCAAGUAGAACGCUGAAGGAGGAGCUUGCUCUUCUGGAUGAGUUGCGAACGGGUGAGUAACGCGUAGGUAACCUGCCUGGUAGCGGGGGAUAACUAUUGGAAACGAUAGCUAAUACCGCAUGACAACAGUUAUUGCAUGAUAACUGUUUAAAAGGGGCAACUGCUCCACUACCAGAUGGACCUGCGUUGUAUUAGCUAGUUGGUGAGGUAACGGCUCACCAAGGCGACGAUACAUAGCCGACCUGAGAGGGUGAUCGGCCACACUGGGACUGAGACACGGCCCAGACUCCUACGGGAGGCAGCAGUAGGGAAUCUUCGGCAAUGGACGGAAGUCUGACCGAGCAACGCCGCGUGAGUGAAGAAGGGUUUCGGAUCGUAAAGCUCUGUUGUAAGAGAAGAACGAGUGUGAGAGUGGAAAGUUCACACUGUGACGGUAUCUUAACAGAAAGGGACGGCUAACUACGUG